rnacentral:rRNA from 1 species
GAUGAACGCUGGCGGCGUGCCUAAUACAUGCAAGUCGAGCGAACGGACGAGAAGCUUGCUUCUCUGAUGUUAGCGGCGGACGGGUGAGUAACACGUGGAUAACCUACCUAUAAGACUGGGAUAACUUCGGGAAACCGUAGCUAAUACCGGAUAAUAUUUUGAACCGCAUGGUUCAAUAGUGAAAGACGGUCUUGCUGUCACUUAUAGAUGGAUCCGCGCUGCAUUAGCUAGUUGGUAAGGUAACGGCUUACCAAGGCAACGAUGCAUAGCCGACCUGAGAGGGUGAUCGGCCACACUGGAACGGAGACACGGUCCAGACUCCUACGGGAGGCAGCAGUAGGGAAUCGUCCGCAAUGGGCGAAAGCCUGACGGAGCAACGCCGCGUGAGUGAUGAAGGUCUUCGGAGCGUAAAACUCUGUUAUUAGGGAAGAACAUAUGUGUAAGUAACUGUGCACAUCUUGACGGUACCUAAUCAGAAAGCCACGGCUAACUACGUG